CCCCUCUCAGGAUUGCACCUGGAGAGUUUCCAGUUCUCUGCCAGCCUUAGCUACGGGAGGGAGAGUCAAGCAGAGGUAUAUUCAUUCCAUUCCUAGCUUGGGAAGUGGCUAGUGAGUGGAAGGAAAUCUGCUAAAAGU